rnacentral:lncRNA from 1 species
CACUGAUUAGGUUCCCAGGCUAUCAUUAAUUUAAUACACAUUGUAGCUAAGAUAGGAUUUUGAUACUAUUAUAUUAUAGUGGAUUCAUCUGUGUCCUCCCCAUCCCCCAAAUAUGUUCAAGUCCUAAACUCCUGUACUUGUGAAUGUGACUCUAUUUGGAAAAGGGUUUUUGCAGGCAUAAUCAAAUCAAGAUGAGGUCAUACUGGAUGAGGACAGGCUCUAGAUUCAGUGACUCUUAUCUUCAUAAGAGACUUGGACACAGAGGGAAGAAGAUCAUGUGAGGACGGAGGCAGAGGUUGGCAUUAAGCUUCCACAAGCCAAGGAAUGCCUGGACCCAUCAAAAGUUGGAAAAGGCAAGAAAAGAUUCUCUUCUAGCACCUUCGAUGGAGUGUGGCCAUGCUGACACCUCAGUUUCAGAAUUUUGGCCUCCAGAAUGGCACGGAAACAGAAAGAGCUGUGUGGCCAGGACUGUCUGAUGGACUGCAACCUUCCUUUGAGGGCUGCAUUUACCCACGGUGAAUACAUAGCUUACUCGACCUCCUUCCUCCCUCUGCUCUUUUGCUAGUGUUUGCCAACGGCAGACUCUUAACUGGAAGCCAGAAGGUAAGGGAGCUCACUGAUGAAGCCUGCACUGGUCAACUUUUUGGGCAUAGAGCAGAGUGAGAGAGUGGAUCAGAUGGGAGAUAUCCAUCCCAUGCACAUUUCUGAACACUGCGGUUCCUGCGGCUGAGGGAAAUUAGUGUGUCAUUGGUUAACCAGGGAUGGAGCUGACAAUGAGGCCAGGCUUAUCUCAACUAAAUGAGCUGUGUGUGUGUGCACAUGUGUGCAUGUGCAUAUCACAGCAGACCUUCAUAACAGACCUGUCAUGUGAGUGCAGUUAUGUUUCCCAGGUCAUCAAUAAGGCAACUGAAACAAGCAUGGUUAGGUCACCUACCCAAGGUCACAAAGUCUCACAAGCUUAGUAAGUAUGAGUCCACUGCUUACUUACACAAAUGAGGAUAAGGAGAGACUAUCAGAGUUUCAGGGAAACCAAGAGGGAAGCAGCGAAGAGACACUUACAAUGGCAAAGAAAAAAAUCCCUGGGAAAUUGCUGGUUGUCCUGAAAAUACAUCAUGGUGUGUUACCAGUUAAAGAGAGAGAGGAUCCUGGGCUGGAAAAAAUAGCAGGAGACCACCAUGGGGCAAAUGCAUUUCUCUUGACUUGUGCUUAUUCUAACCAGGCUUGAAGACACACUGAUACUUCUCCUAGGUCUUCUCCUGGCAAGACUGAAGUGAACCCUGAUUGGCCAAGGUGGCCCUGGUUGCUGAGGCUCAGCCUCCUCACCUUAUGUGGAUUUGUUCAUGACCCCCAGUGCAAAGUUCCCUGGAAAACAUGCUCCCCAUGCUGAUGGCUUGGCCUGAUCCACAAGCUUCAAUCUGAGUUGACCUUUGGCUCCCCAUUGGCUGCCACCAAGCCUUGCCCCUUCCAGGCCAGUGUGCGUUGUUCUUCUCCCAUCAUUUGAUACCCAAUUCCAGUUCUUUCUCUCCAUCCCCAAUUUUAGACCAGAUAACAACUUUUAACUGUUUUCCAUUCCAUGGGCUAUUUCUCAUUUAGGUGCUCAGAUCCAGAAUCCCAGUGAUCCGUAAUAAAGCCAAAUUUUUGAGCUAAUUGCCUUUGAGGAUGCUACUUUUCUGUUGGUGCUGCAAGAUGGAAUUUUAGAGACUCUAACUCUAGGCAGCUCCCCUUUCUCCUCACUUCCCCCUUCCAAUAUCAUGCGCUCUCCCAGGGCUCAGUAAAUUACACUAUCACAGCCCACCCUGCAGUGGUCACUUGGCAAAGAAAGGUGCUUCUGAUGGUGGUCGCAGAGGAGUGUCACAGAGGAAAGGCAAACAGGAAGGGAGAGAAGACCAUGGAGAGAAAAUAUUCUUUAAUUCUGAGCUUUGUUGAUGUAGAAACUUCAAACUCUAGACCAAAAAGUUCCCCAGAAUCUUACCAACUUGUACCCCAUUCUCCUCCCUGUCCUUUCUCCUCCUGGCAUCCCCCACCAGGGAGGAACAAAUGGGAAUUGCGCACUUAAAGAACAUGGGGAAAAGGAGACAUUCUUUCUCAGGAAGACAGCAAAACCCCUGUCAUUAUUGACAUAAUGCACUGAGUAUGUAUCCGUAAUACAAUCAUAAAAUAUUCUGUCUUAGGAGAGAGCCUGUGUGCUUGCUGCACUUGUUGCUAUGGCAGCUGGACAGUUUUAAUAACUGCAAAUCACAAGUCUUUGGCUCAUAGGGUCUUUUUUUUUUUUUUUUUCCAGGACCAGCAGUAAUUUCCCAGGGACGUUUUUUCUUUGCCAUUGUAAGUCUCUCUUGGACUGCUCCCCUCUUGGUUUCUCUGAGACUCUGAUAGUUUCUCUUUACCCUCAUUUUAUAAGUGAACAGUGGACUCAUACUUACGAAGCUUAUGAGGCUUUGUGACCUCGGGUAGGUAAUGUAGCUGUGCUUGCCUCAGUUGCCUUAUUUAUGACAUGGGAAUCUAAUUGCACCCACGUGAUAGGUCUGUUGUGAAGAUUAAGCGAGAUAAUGCAAACAAACUGCAGAGCACUGUGCCUGGCGUUAGAAAAUGUUGCUUCUUAUUAUUGAAAAAGGAAAUAUGGAUUACGGGGAUCUUAUAACAGGCAGGAGGAGUUCAGGCCCUGUGAUCUAGCCCUGAGAAGGUGGAUAAGCACUUGGUGUUCCUUUGCUUCAUUGCUUCUCCUGUUUCCUGAUCCUAUGCCUGGGUUAACUCUUGCUUUGCUGGACUUUCCUCUCUCUGCUGUCUCCAACGGGAUGACAAAGAUAGCGGCAGAUGCCAUGAGGACGAGGCCUGUGGCUCAGAUCUUCUUUGGAUCCCCCAGGGCCCCUCACAGGAUGUUUUGCACAUAAUAAGUGCUCAGGAAGUGUCUGUGUGUUGAUACCUGCAUGGGGAGGGGGCCACUCCAAAAAGGGAAAAUGCUACUGAACACCUGUCUGGAGGUGGGAAUUUACAUGAACGAUUCUGGCCUCGCAGGGAAAUUUUCUCCCAGUCCUCUCUGGCUCCCAUUUUCCUUUGGUCAAAGUUCAGUUACCAGCAGCCACCUCUUCACACCUUUGGCUUUUGUCCACUUGACUCCAGCAGCCAUUCAGGAACCAGAACCAGCAUGCUGCCUGGUGCUGCAUUCCAUCCAUUCCCUGUUUCAGCCCAGGUGGAGGACUGACAAGGAGAAGGAAGGAAGGGGAAGACUGAGAGGACACUCGAGAGGUCCAAAGCUGCACUUUGUCUUUCGUCUUCUGCUUUUUCCUUUAGUUAACACAUUAUUUGUAAGUAAUAAUGUACUGCAUUAAGUAAUUAAGUAAUGAAUGCAUACAGUCCUCAUAUAUUGCAUCGGUACAAAAGUAAUUGUGAUUUUUGCCAUUACUUUCAAUGGCAAAAAGAGCAAUUACUUUUGCACCAACCUCAUAUAUGUAUAAAAGUAUUCAAGCAAACAGAAAAAAGUAUGACUUCUCUCUCUGAAGGUCAUUGCUGUUAUCACAUUAGCAUUUAUCCAGAUGCUUUUAUUUAUUUAAAUGUAUACAUACACAUACAC